AGAGUUUGAUCCUGGCUCAGGAUGAACGCUGGCGGCGUGCCUAAUACAUGCAAGUCGAGCGAACGGACGAGAAGCUUGCUUCUCUGAUGUUAGCGGCGGACGGGUGAGUAACACGUGGAUAACCUACCUAUAAGACUGGGAUAACUUCGGGAAACCGGAGCUAAUACCGGAUAAUAUUUUGAACCGCAUGGUUCAAAAGUGAAAGACGGUCUUGCUGUCACUUAUAGAUGGAUCCGCGCUGCAUUAGCUAGUUGGUAAGGUAACGGCUUACCAAGGCAACGAUGCAUAGCCGACCUGAGAGGGUGAUCGGCCACACUGGAACUGAGACACGGUCCAGACUCCUACGGGAGGCAGCAGUAGGGAAUCUUCCGCAAUGGGCGAAAGCCUGACGGAGCAACGCCGCGUGAGUGAUGAAGGUCUUCGGAUCGUAAAACUCUGUUAUUAGGGAAGAACAUAUGUGUAAGUAACUGUGCACAUCUUGACGGUACCUAAUCAGAAAGCCACGGCUAACUACGUGCCAGCAGCCGCGGUAAUACGUAGGUGGCAAGCGUUAUCCGGAAUUAUUGGGCGUAAAGCGCGCGUAGGCGGUUUUUUAAGUCUGAUGUGAAAGCCCACGGCUCAACCGUGGAGGGUCAUUGGAAACUGGAAAACUUGAGUGCAGAAGAGGAAAGUGGAAUUCCAUGUGUAGCGGUGAAAUGCGCAGAGAUAUGGAGGAACACCAGUGGCGAAGGCGACUUUCUGGUCUGUAACUGACGCUGAUGUGCGAAAGCGUGGGGAUCAAACAGGAUUAGAUACCCUGGUAGUCCACGCCGUAAACGAUGAGUGCUAAGUGUUAGGGGGUUUCCGCCCCUUAGUGCUGCAGCUAACGCAUUAAGCACUCCGCCUGGGGAGUACGACCGCAAGGUUGAAACUCAAAGGAAUUGACGGGGACCCGCACAAGCGGUGGAGCAUGUGGUUUAAUUCGAAGCAACGCGAAGAACCUUACCAAAUCUUGAUAUCCUUUGACAACUCUAGAGAUAGAGCCUUCCCCUUCGGGGGACAAAGUGACAGGUGGUGCAUGGUUGUCGUCAGCUCGUGUCGUGAGAUGUUGG
rnacentral:rRNA from 1 species